AGUGAACGCUGGCGGCGUGCCUAAUACAUGCAAGUCGAACGGAGUGGCGCACGGGUGAGUAAUAUAUAGCUAAUCUGCCCCUUGCUGGAGGACAACAGUUAGAAAUGACUGCUAAUACUCCAUAGCAAGGGAUGAGACUAUAUCGUAUCAGCUCGUCGGUGGGGUAACGGCCUACCGAGGCUAUGACGCGUAACUGGUCUGAGAGGAUGAUCAGGCACAUUGUAACGUAGACACGUGGCAAACUCCUACGGAAGGCAUCGGUAGGGUGUAUUGCGCAAUGGGGGAAAGCCUGACGCAUGAACGUCGCGUAGACGAUGACACUUUUCGGAGCGUAAACACCUUUUGUUAGGAAAGCGGUACCUAACGAAUAAGCACCGGCUAACUCCGUGCCAGCAGCCGCGGUAAUUC
rnacentral:rRNA from 1 species